rnacentral:piRNA from 1 species
UGCAAUGUCUGGACGUGGUAAGCAAGG